rnacentral:misc_RNA from 1 species
UACGGAGGGUGCAAGCGUUAAUCGGAAUUACUGGGCGUAAAGCGCACGCAGGCGGUCUGUCAAGUCGGAUGUGAAAUCCCCGAGCUCAACCUGAGAACUGCAUCCGAAACUGGCAGGCUAGAGUCUUGUAGAGGGGGGUAGAAUUCCAGGUGUAGCGGUGAAAUGCGUAGAGAUUUGGAAGAAUACCGGUGGCGAAGGCGGACCCCUGAACAAAGACUGACGCUGAGGUGCGAAAGCGUAGGGAGCGAACAGG